rnacentral:rRNA from 1 species
UACGGAGGGUGCAAGCGUUAUCCGGAUUCACUGGGUUUAAAGGGUGCGUAGGUGGGUUGAUAAGUCAGUGGUGAAAUCCCCGAGCUUAACUUGGGAACUGCCAUUGAUACUAUUGAUCUUGAAUACCGUGGAGGUCAGCGGAAUAUGUCAUGUAGCGGUGAAAUGCUUAGAUACAAUCAAGAACACCGAUUGCGUAGGCAGCUUACUAGGCUGUAACUGACGCUGAGGCACGAAAGCGUGGGGAGCGAACAGG